AGAGAGAGAGAGAGAGAGAGAGAGAGAGAGAGAGAGAGAGAGACUUGAUGCUCAGCAAUGCUGGGUUUAGAGGAGUCUUAGGAAAAUAAAGAGAAUCCCCUUGAGAAUAGCUGGGCUAGGACCCACAAGGAGCUGUCUGGGAAUGGAUGUGUGGAAUACAUUCUGAGGGUUGUCACUCACCAGGGUUGUGAAGAAGUAGUGAUAGUAUUCAGUCAUCAUGCCCAUGAACAAAAUCUGCAACAGAGACAUGGGAGAAAGAAUCAGAAGUAGAUUAUAAUAUGAAACAGAACAUACAGUUGGACUUACAUUAAAGUAAUCAGAUUCAUGAUGAAAUAUAAGAAUAGUUUCUGGCCAACACAUUUUAUAUUUGGGAUUAUGGUUCAUGACGUGAGAUUUUGUCUUUUCUGUGUCUUAGUCUUUCAUAUGCAACUACCUAGACUAGAUAUGUAGGUUGCUUAGUCCUUGUCUUUAGCACAAUGUUUUUCUCAGAUUUGAAGUCAUUGUACAUCGACAAGGCAAUGCUAGUAUGUACAUAUAUUCACAUGAGGACUUACAGCCGAAUGUGUCUCUGAAAACUUACGGUCUCUGUCUCAUCUUACCCAACACUCCUGAACUCACAAAUGGAUGAGAACCAGACUUAAAGUUCACAUUACCUCUUCUCUCUUUCAACAUUGUUUAGUGUAUCUCAGAAUUAGCUGGCAUCAGUACUUCUAGUAAUCUUUAGUUCUAGAGAAUACUGGUAUUAGUGGAACCAUUAUAAUUUCAUUGUAUAUUUUGUUAUACAUUUUAUUGUAUACUUCCUUAUUUUUCAUUAUUUUAAUGUACAAAAUAGUAUCAUUAUGACAUUGUCAUAUGUACAUAUUGUUAUGGAUGUUCUUCUUACCCACCUCCCCUGCCCUCUCCAAUUUUUACCGAAUUUGUCCCUCUUUUGUUUGUAUAAUACACACACACACACACACACACACACACACACACACAAAUGCAUGCACGCACACAUACUCACUACAUAUCAAGAUUUCACAGUGAGAGAAACUGUGCCUCUUAGAACUUAUUCUCUGCUACCUCUUUAGGAUCUUUAUAUUUCCAGAAAUCCUGAACGUGCAUAUAUCGUUUUGACUUUUGUGGGAGAAGAGUAAGGUAGCCAUGUGAGAGACAUAGAUGUGGUAGUUAGGUAGUUUAUUAAGCAGUGAAUCUACUUUUGUGCUCAAUGCAGCAGAAAAUGUUUGAAACGGUUCUCUACAUUAUCUAAGUCAGGGCAUUAUUGGAGGUACUUGUAUGCUAGUUAUGGUUCUUGGUUUUGGAGAAAACAAAAAGUUCACAAGCUACAUAUCUGAAGCCCUUCUCCCUGACUCCUCUUAUGAGUCCUGUAUACAAGUUAUAAUCUUCUGAAGGCUUUUAAGUCAGGAUUUCUUGAACACUCUCAUGGAGCCCUUCUGGUUCAAAGCAUGUACAGUGGCAGAACAUCGCUGAUCCGUGGGAAACAUGUAUCUUGGCAGUGAAGAACAACAAUAUUUAGAAUCUAGAUUCAAGAGAUGAAUUCACAAAGUAUGGGUAAAGACAAUAUAAGUUAUCAGAGGUUCUGCUUAAAAUACGCAAACUGGCAUGGCUUUUUAUGAAAGGGAAUAAGAAGUGACGAAUGUAUUUACAGAGAGCACUAAGUGGGUUCACUCAUGAGACACUUACCCCUGCUAACAUGGAAACCAGGGGCUAGUGAAACUGUAUCCUCUGAAAGUAAGAUGAAUGAUAGGAAACUCUUACUAUGAUUAAUUAGCUAAUAGUAUCUGAGUUGGUCCUGUGGUGCUAACAAGAUCAGACACACCGAAGGACUUUUUAAAGCUGGACCUGUUUUAGUAACAUUUAGAGCUAUACAUGGUGAGGUCUUGUAGGCAGGUUUCUUAUAACAUUUGAGCAUAAAAAGCUGGACUAUCAGGGUGAGGCCGGAAUCCAAUUGCUCAUUUUGGCUAUUAGAUGGUAUAAAGCGAACUGUGUAAAUUUUAUGUUAAGAUGUGAAGCUGGAUACUGAGCUUAAAAUAUUAUUUCUUGAAUUGAAACUGAAAUAUAGCUCUACCUGAGUUUAUAGAUUUUCAAUUUGACAAAUUUCUCUUUUUGAACUUUGUAGAAGGUUUUGCUCCCCUGUUGUGAACAUGAACACUUCUUAAAAAGAAAAGCAAUCAUUGAAGUCAUUAUCUUAUUAUUGUUUUUAUAGUUCCUGGAGGCAAAUAUUCAUUUGCCAUGUGUUAGUUGGUGUUAGAAAUCAGGUGUGGCAGUAGAGUGAGUAGCAGCUGGCAGGCUGUUCUGAUUGCAGAAGGGACAAUUGGGUCCUCCAGGCAUUCUUGACGUUUGUUGUAUCACAAAGUUCUCUCCUCCCCUUCCUAUCUAGAUGUUUGGAUACAUAUCAUCUCUCUGAAUUUGUCCUAGAUUUUCCUAGAAAUUAUAAAACAAGUGCAGAGGCAAUGAUCAUAAGCCUGUCAGCAUUCCAGAACCAGAUGAAAGAACACCUUCAAGAUGAAAAAUGACAAGCUCCAAGAGAUGAAAAAUGACAAGCUCCAAGAGUGAUGUAUUUUAAACAGCAGUCCUUCACAGUGGCCUAUAGGCUUGUUGGGAUACAGAGAUGGUUGGGAUACAGAGUCCUGUCUUCUAAGAGUGUGCUUUAUAAAUAAAUGCACUGUCUUCACUCCAUAAUGUUUGCUUUGGGUGUUGGUUCUUCAGCUAAAGUCAGUAAGGGAUUAAGAAAAAUGUCACAUCGUGGUAAAUGUCAGUUUUAAAAAUAAAAACUAAAAAAAAUAAUAAAAUAAAAAUAAAAACUAUAAUCAUGACAUGGAGAGUUUUCUAAUAGUUCUUCCCAGAACUGAAUUUUUCUAUGAGCGCCUUCUCAGAAUUCUUAUGCUGUGUUUGUCUGCUGAACUGAUAAGUGGUGCUCGCUUUACUAAGUUAGAGCUGAAGGAAAUAGUUCUGCUUGUAUUUAAAACCCAUGUGCAUGUUUCACCAAGUUAUCAUUGCUAAGUACAAGCUUACCCUCCUGUUUAAAUCAAUCCCGGCAUAUAAAAAAUGAUGGAUCAAAAAUGUGGCAUCAUUUGUGUCAUAUUCAGUUAUACUGUUUAUUGUUCUCAAUUGCUUACACUGAUAUGGUCUUCUAAUAGUACUUCCCCCAACAGAAUUAUUAUCAAGUAGGUUUUGAUAUCACAUCCUUGACAUAGAGAGAACUAAAAAUUCAGUGAGGCAUGGAAGCACAGGGCUGAACUCUCAGAAUUCAGGAGACUCAGGCAGUAGGCUUGUAAGGUUAAGGGUAGCCUGAGCUACACAGGACAGAAGAUAGAAGGAGGGAAAGAUGAGAUUGGAAGCCAUUAAAUCUGUUUAAUGAAUCUCUGGGCUAUGACAGGAUUGUAUUUUCUGACCCUUGUUAUUACAUGGGAGUGUCUACUAGAUCAAGCCAUAAGACAGGAAAGAUAAGGACAUUUGCCACCUCCCUAACUCUAGCAUAUUAAUUGCAUGAUUGUCAGCAUGGGGAGAAGGAUUUGUUUUUCCGAAUAAGCUCUUUUUUCUUCUUUCAUAAAAACCCAGGAGUCAUGUAAAUGAUCUUGUUAAGUUUGUUCUGCUGUCUAGGAAGGUUGAGGCCUAAAUCAUGGGCUCUCCAUUAGAAGUCAGUUAGAAACAUAGGUAUGUGCACAUCCCUGUGUGAACAAAAGUCAUCCAGGUUCAUGCUUCUCUCAACGUUCUCCUUCCAAUUCUCUAUUGCUUUUAAGAAACAUUAUCACUCUGUUUCAAAUAUCUUCUUCUGGGGUGCUCCAAUUCUUUAUAGAAUAAAGACACUGUAAAUAAAUAAUAAUGGUUGGGAUGAGCUGGAUACCUCCCCCCAACCCCCAAAGAAUGGUGGUUGACUGUUCCAACCUAGUCGGGUUCGGUUAGUGGAGCAGGAAGUCCUUUGACCAAUUUCAUUUUCCAGCAACACCAGUAAUGAUUUCUCAUAGUAAGUCAUAUUCCAUUUUAAGGAUCGAUUUUAAGAACUGGAAAAGGACUAAUGACAAAAGAGUCAAUAUCGGCAACUUGAGGACACUCCAUCUUUCUUGGUCACAUAAUCCAAAAGGAGGAAAGAUGGUAUGUAUCUUUUUGGAGGCUCUAUCUGUGUCAUGGUACUGAGAUAAAAAAAGAUUACAUGGCUAUACCUUUAUUUAUAGAAAACAAUUUAUGCCCUCUUUUAUUUGUAGCUAGAAUUGAUCAACACAUGGCAGAAGAAAAGCUCAAUGCCAUUUGGAUCCUAAAAGGACAUUUCUAAUGAUUCCACUGAUACCAGUAUUCUCUGGAACACAGCUAAUGCUCAUUAACAAUGGUGAUGUUACACUGGUCCAGCUGUCUUGUGAGAUUUUUGCAACUAUUGGGAACCUACCUUCUAUAUAAGUAGCUUUGGUGUGGCUCUGUUGUCCUUGACAAAGAUGAGCUCUCAGCAUUUGAUGAAUGGCCACUGAGUACACCGAGCAGCAAGCAGUCCAUAGGAUCCUGUGUUCUCUAAGAUCUAAUUGACAUUUAGAUGGAGAGGACCUAAUUUACAGGGCUAGAAGGUUUGUGGUGGCUGCAGAGUCAUCUCAUGAGACAGAAGGAGCCAAGCAUCCCGAUAACAUCUCUGAGACUUAAAGAAGCCUGAACCUUCACUCUGCUCUUCUCUCAGCAAGUGGUGCCAUGCUACAGAGGCAGCAAUCACAAAUGUUUUGCAUGCAUUCUCAACAUCUAUCAUUAAGGGCAAUCAAUGCAUCACAAAUAAUGGCCAUUGCACUGUAACUGUGGUAGCAAAACCCUAAAAUGGAGCCUGGAGUUUCCCUGUGCUAUUUGUGUUUUUUUGUAAUAUUUAUAUGGCUUUUUAUUACUGCUUCUUCCCUCGAAAAAAUGCAUGUCCUGGAAGUUUAUAUUGACUAAACUGAAGUAUAUUGCUACUUUUUACAGUUUUCUCAAUAGAAGGAUGAAGUUCCAGCCAUCAUGACAUGGUUUCUAGUCAAUAAUUUCAAAUGAAUAACUUCCAAAUGUGCAGCGUGUACUGUAGCUAAAGUAAGGACUUUACCGCCAAACAGGAAUGAGCUUUUUCUGCAUAAAAAUCUUCAGACACAGUGGGAUGGCAUCGAGUAUCAGAGGAAUAAUUUUAAGAUAAAAAUUCACUCUCUAGGGUGCCUCUCUUCUUCUGUGAUACUUACAGUCACAUCCCUACAGUCCUCUGAAUGCAAGAGUUCUUAGGGUACAUGGGCUGCACUGUCAGUGGAAUAACUGAGAUAUAAGCUAACCUUUUGAUACAUGUUUGUCGUCAGUGUCUUUGCCACACCAAGUCAACUUACAUUCCUAACGGACAGUGCAUUACAGAGCAAACAGCAGUAGGUCCCAAUGCCCCUGAGGUUAGGAAGAAUUCUAUUUCCUUCUGACAUAGACUGGUGUUUCAUACACGUGUCCACACCCUGACUUGAACACAUACUCACAUGCUUAUUUGUACGGUAAAAGAGACUGUAGACAUCAUAGGAUGUUGGAUUUAGGAAACAAGAGUGCUAUAGGGUGAAAGUGAUACUCAAAGGCAAAAGGUAAGCAAUGAUGUGCUGUGGGGCUUCAGAGAAAGAUGUGGGGGAAAGAAGCUGCAUUGUCCUGUCUCUGCCUCUAGGAGGAAAGCAGCCUGCCUCCACCUUCCAUCAAGACUCAACCUCCAGAUCUGUUAAGAAACUUCUAUUGUUUUAAAGUACUGUGUGUGUUACAGGAAGAACAGAAAGCAACUGCCUUCUUCUAAUCUCUCCGUGAUUACAGUGCAUGAGAACUCGCAGCUUCCUAUAGGCAAAUGCUAACAGCAUGUAAGUGCCUAUAAACAAACUGAACUCAAAGGGGGCCCAGAGAUAUUUGCUUCCAUUUGACAACAACAUUAUACCAUUUACAAAGUCAACCGAGUUUCUUCCUGCUUCUUCCUGCUUCCAAAAUAAAUCAAAGAAAAGGAAGACAUCCCACAAAGCACUCACCACACUACUUAGGGGUGUCUCUGGGUCUUAACAUUUUCUUAAGCUUCUGUCUCUAGUGGUGUGUUCCAAGGUGAAGCUGACAGUAAUGGAUUUUAAUAAAUGGAAUGGAAACAGGUGAUGUUUCUGUAAGCUUUAGAGAGUAUUUUAGAAGAGACAGACUUCUUCACCUGGAUGCUCAAGGAUGAGAGCGCGCUGCUCAUGGAUGCAGAUGGUUGAGGACAGAGCAGGUGAUAGAUGGUAGAGAGAAACAGGCAAUCUUGCAAAGAUGGGGGACUGGAGUUUUGGGAAGAUGACAUGAAUCUAAACUACAAGUAUUUUAAAAUACCAGAAGCACAUGGAACAGGAAUGUCUUAGAAAGAAUAGAAGAGAAAAAAAUUAGUGUACAUAAUUUAGAUGGAAAAGUGAACCUGUUACAUGGCAAACAAGCUCUCUGUGAUAGGCACUUUGCUUCAAAUUUCUCUGAUGAUAACCUUUCAAAGGAGAGAUAUAGAAUGGAUACUGAACCAUGAUCUCUAAAAUAUCCAUAGCCUAGUAAUGUGCUUCGUAGCCUGGAAUAUUUAGAGGAAGCAAGGAACUUUAAAAGUCCCAGUGGUGCUAGGGUAAAGGUUAACAACUGGAUUAUCAUUUAUACCUGCUGAGCAAGGGAUGCUCAGAGAAGAAGUUUUCUCUAAUAGAGUGACACUGGAUAUAUCAACUGCAUCAGGGAAGGCCUCGUGUUCAGGAGUAGUUGACCAAUAUAGAAUGGAUUUUUCUUUUUUGGUGUGCUUUUACUUAGUUACAGUUUGGUUUGGAGGGGAUUAAUUGUUGUAUUUCUUUUUUGUUUGAUUUUCAAGAAACAGCUUACAAAGUUGGGUGGGUAGAGAAGGGAAAAAAAUAAGAAUAUGACUAGGGGAAGUAAGAAUAUUGUGAGGAGCCGCCCUUGCAAUUGCCAUUACAAGAUGGCGCUGACAUCCGGUGUUCUAACUGGUAAACAAGUAGUCUGCGCAUGUGCUGGGGUAUUUUUCCAUUCCUUGUGCCCUGCCUGUCCCAUGGCAUCAUCUGGGCUGAUGGUGUCAGCCCAGACGUGUUUCACCAGUCAGGGUGAAACACGUCUCCAACUUCUCUUGUGGUCUAUUUAAGGACUGAGUUUCCUGUGUUCUGGGUCUCCUCCCCAGAAGCUGAUCAUCUUUCUCUCGAGAAGCAUUAAAGCUUUGCUGCAGAAGGAUCCGAGUGUGUCCUGUGUGUGCGAGACUCCUUAUCACACAGGGACAGAAUAUGACCAAAAUACAUUUAAAUUUGAAAAUUGUUUUAAAUAAUGAAAAUAUAAUAAUAAAAAGUACCAUUUGUGAAGUUGCAUCUUUAAAUAUUCUGAUAUAUCUGCCCCAGCAUGGGUUGUACACAUGCAUAAUCACUAGAUAUCCUGCAUGCGAUACAUGUUCUUAUGCUGAGACCGCUGAUCUAUGUCAAUUAAAUUUUUUCUUAUUUUAACCUUGUUUCUAAGCUACAGAACUUAGGGUCAUCACUACCAUUUGGUGAGUGCUAUAACACAUCCAUUUAUAUGUACAGGAAGUGGACUUGAAGCUAAUGGCAUAGUCAUGGUGUUCAUGUGUGGUUAUAGUUGGGACUCUUAGCAGGUUAGUUCAGUUAUUGAUCAUAGGAAGCACCGUUAGAAAACCCAAUGAUUUUUUUAAACAAUCCAUUUGUGGAGUAUUUUGGGAUCCCAAGUAGAACCACAAAGUUAGACACACAGGGCUUGGAAUUUAGUAGGACUGGAGCCCCUUGAGUUUCCCACAGACGCCGAGGAAGUCUCUAGAUUGUAAGAGCGCCUUCUUUGGACUUUGGUGAAGAUUCUGGCCCUAGAAGGUUAUAGUUUACCUUUUGUAGGCAUCCAGAUAGAUAGUGAUUUGGGCUAAAACAGCUCGUUAGAUGUUAUAAUUAAUUAACUUCAGUUUUCUUAUGUGUAGUUUUGAAGACCUUUGGUAAUAUCUGAGAAGCUAUUUAAUCUCUUAGAGUAUGCAUCUUUCAUUAAGAAAGGUUAGUGUUGUCAUUUAGGUCAGUAGUAGAGCACCUACCUGCCUAGCUAGCAUGUAUGGGAUCAUGGGUCCCAUGGCCCAUUGCACUAAGUAGACAUUCUUUGAAAAAAAUUCAUAACUGAUUUUUCUCUAACAUAAAAUAUUGAGUUGAUGAAUAUAGAUAUUUCUGAGUGCUUGAUGCUGUUAUGUAGUAGGCCAAAAUAGACAAGGGUAUGUAUUCUACAUGAAGUCAUAUGUCUUAUUCUAUUAAGGUGCUGCCUUAGGUAAGAGCAACCCUCAGGGUUUCAAACAUGGGAGGGGGUAAAGCCAGAUGUUUUACUUAAGAUGAACAGUGUUUUGAGACUGCAUGUGAGUGAGAGGAAAAAAGGAAGGGAAUUUGUUUCAGAGUUAUCAGUUCAGAACAAAGAUGACAAGAUGACUGGAGAAAAGAGAGAAUCUGAGACAUAGUCAAAGGGUUGAGUCUCUCUUAUUUGGCAACUCUCUAGCUUGCAUUAUGGGAUACUUUUUUUGUCACCAAGAAAAGAGGUAAGAAGAUAAAAUGAUUGGUCAUAAGAAGGUUGAAGGAGAAGCUACAAGGUAUUAAAUCCAAUGUGGUAAUUUAAUAAUACAACAGUCAUCAGAUAUGAAGACCUAGUCUGACCUUCAUUUUGAACUUUAUUAUAUGUGAAGACUUGACUUAGCUUUCAUCAGCUAUGAAGACCUGGCUUGGCCUUCAUGAGACAUGUAGACCUGGCUUGACCUUUAUAACAUAUGAAGACCUGCUUUGAUCUUCAUGAGACGUGGAGUUGUGCCUUGACCUUUAUAACAUAUGAAGACCUGGCUUAAUCUUUAUCAGAUAUGAAGAUUUAGCUCCAUGUUCAUUAAAUUUAAAGACUCAAUUCAACAUUUAUCAGAUAUGAAGACCUGGUUUGAGCUUCAUUUUGAACAGUGUUAUAUAUGAAGACCUUCAUUUACUGGGAAGACCUGGCUUUACCCUCUUGAGAGAAAGAUCUGGUUCUGUCUUUAUCAGAUACAAAUACCUAGGUUGUCACACUAAGAGGAGGUCUUAGACUAAGUGUCAUUCUAUAAUUUAAGGGGGGAUACAGAGACACAAAUUCAGGAUCAAGAAGCAUCAACUCACUCUUGGUGUGGAUGAUGAUAAUACCCAGCAGCCGGCAUCUUUUGUGUAUUGGUACCAGCCUAGAACCCUAUUUGCACUGUCAAAUUUAGUGAUUUUCUGCAUGAUGUGAAGCCCAUAAAAUUGCUUCUCAUGUAUAAAGGCAUAAAAUAAAAAGUCUUCUGAUCCUCUA